rnacentral:sRNA from 1 species
GACUAGCCCCGAUAGAAGUGGAAAUCCUUUUGUGGGCAGGGUUUGCCCACAAAAGAUUGCAACGGAUAGCGGGAUAAGCU